rnacentral:rRNA from 1 species
ACCGGCAGCUCAAGUGGUGGCCAUUUUUAUUGGGCCUAAAGCGUUCGUAGCCGGUUUGAUAAGUCUCUGGUGAAAUCCCGCAGCUUAACUGUGGGACUUGCUGGAGAUACUAUUAGACUUGAGGUCGGGAGAGGUUAGGGGUACUCCCAGGUUAGGGGUGAAAUCCUAUAAUCCUGGGAGUACGACAUGUGGCGAAGGCGCGUGACUGGAACUAACCUGACGAUGAGUAACGUAAGCCAGGGGCGCGAACCG